UGCCGAUCCUUUUAUAUGACAGAAACGCCACCUGCAGUUCUGAGGGGAUUUAAAAGAGAAGCAGGGAGAUCCGUGCCAGUGAUCUGUUUCUCGAGAGAGAUUCCAGUUCCUCUAGAGAGCUCAUCAUGGCCUGGGCUCUAUCCUUCCUUGCACUUCUCAGCUACUUUUCAGGUAAGAAUGUAGAGGACUCCCUUUCCACCGGCCUCUAGCCCAUUGCAGAACUAUUUAUAUUGUGUUUUUAUCAUGGUGCCAGCCUGAUAUUUGGAGCAGAAGGAAUGAAUCGAGGUCAUUUUAUUCUUUUUUCUUUUCCACAAAGGUGUCGUUUCACAGCAUACUCUGACUCAGCCUGCCUCUGAAACUGUGUCCCUGGGGCAAACGGCUAAACUCUCCUGUACGUCCAGUGAUGGUCGCAGCAGCAGCUAUGUUGCCUUUUUUCAGCAGAGACCUGGACAGGCCCCUCGCUAUGUGCAGUACGUCGGCAGCAACAGGGGGGAAGGCAUCCCGGAUCGAUUCACUGCUUCCUUCUCUGGAAACACUGGCUUUUUAACCAUCACUGACAUCCAGCCUGAAGAUGAGGCUGUCUAUUACUGUGGGGCUUGGUUUAACAGCUAUAGCUUGUUG